rnacentral:lncRNA from 1 species
AUGUCAGCAAAUUUGGAAAACUCAGCAGUGGCCACAGGACUGGAAAAGGCCAGUUUUCAUUCCAAUCCCAAAGGCAAUGCCAAAGAAUGCUCAAACUACCACACAAUUGCACUCAUCUCACAUGCUAGUAAAGUAAUGCUCAAAAUUCUCCAAGCCAGGCUUCAGCAAUACAUGAACUGUGAACUUCCAGAUGUUCAAGCUGGUUUUAGAAAAGGCAGAGGAACCAGAGAUCAAAUUGCCAACAUCUGCUGGAUCAUCGAAAAAGCAAGAGAGUUCCAGAAAAACAUCUAUUUCUGCUUUAUUGACUAUGCCAAAGCCUUUGACUGUGUGGAUCACAAUAAACUGUGGAAAAUUCUGAAAGAGAUGGGAAUACCAGACCACCUGAUUGGCCUCUUGAGAAAUCUAUAUGCAGGUCAGGAACCAACAGUUAGAACUGGACAUGGAACAACAAACUGGUUCCAAAUAGGAAAAGGAGUAUGUCAAGGCUAUAUAUUGUCACCCUGCUUAUUUAACUUCUAUGCAGAGUACGUCAUGAGAAACGCUGGGCUGGAAGAAGCACAAGCUGGAAUCAAGAUUGCAGGGAGAAAUAUCAAUAACCUCAGAUAUGCAGAUGACACCACUCUUAUGGCAGAAAGUGAAGAAGAACUAAAAAGCCUCUUGAUGAAAGUGAAAGAGGAGAGUGAAAAAGUUGACUUAAAACUCAACAUUCAGAAAACGAAGAUCAUGGCAUCUGGUCCCAUCACUUCAUGGGAAAUAGCUGGGGAAACAGUGGAAACAGUGUCAGACUUUAUUUUUCUGGGCUCCAAAAUCACUGCAGAUGGUGACUGCAGCCAUGAAAUUAAAAGACACUUUCUCCUUGGAAGAAAAGUUAUGACCAACCUAGAUAGCAUAUUGAAAAGCAGAGACAUUACUUUGCCAACAAAGAUCUGUCUAGUCAAGGCUAUGAUUUUUCCAGUGGUCAUGUAUGGAUGUGAGAGUUGGACUGUGAAGAAAGCUGAGUGCUGA